UACAGAGGGUGCGAGCGUUAAUCGGAAUUACUGGGCGUAAAGCGUGCGUAGACGGUUAUUUAAGUCGGGUGUGAAAGCCCCGGGCUCAACCUGGGAAUUGCAUUCGAGACUGAAUAGCUAGGGUACGGUAGAGGGAAGCGGAAUUUCCGGUGUAGCGGUGAAAUGCGUAGAUAUCGGAAGGAACAUCAGUGGCGAAAGCGGCUUCCUGG
rnacentral:rRNA from 1 species